GUCCAUGGCCAUACCACACAACGCGCCUGAUCUCGUCUGGUCUUGGAAGUUAAGCAGGGUCGGGCCUGGUUAGUACUUGGAUGGGAGAAACUUUAAAAUGGAGAAAGCUGGCAUACACC
rnacentral:rRNA from 1 species